rnacentral:rRNA from 1 species
AUACGGAGUUACAAAAGACGACAUUAGACGAAUCAUCUGGAAAGAUGAAUCAAAGAAGGUAAUAAUCCUGUAGUCGAAAAUGUUGUCUCUCUUGAGUGGAUCCUGAGUACGACGGAGCACGUGAAAUUCCGUCGGAAUCUGGGAGGACCAUCUCCUAAGGCUAAAUACUCUCUAGUGACCGAUAGUGAACCAGUACCGUGAGGGAAAGGUGAAAAGCACCCCGGAAGGGGAGUGAAAUAGAACCUGAAACCGUGUGCUUACAAGUAGUCAGAGCCCGUUAAUGGGUGAUGGCGUGCCUUUUGUAGAAUGAACCGGCGAGUUACGAUUUGAUGCAAGGUUAAGCAGUAAAUGUGGAGCCGUAGCGAAAGCGAGUCUGAAUAGGGCGAUUGAGUCGCGUGUCCUAGACCCGAAGCGGAGUGAUCUACCCAUGGCCAGGUUGAAGCGCGUGUAAGAGCGCGUGGAGGACCGAACCCACUUCAGUUGAAAAUGGAGGGGAUGAGUUGUGGGUAGGGGUGAAAGGCCAAUCAAACUCCGUGAUAGCUGGUUCUCCCCGAAAUGCAUUUAGGUGCAGCGUCACGUGUUUCUUCCCGGAGGUAGAGCUACUGGAUGGACG